UACGAAGGGGGCUAGCGUUGCUCGGAAUCACUGGGCGUAAAGCGCACGUAGGCGGCUUUUUAAGUCAGGGGUGAAAUCCUGGAGCUCAACUCCAGAACUGCCUUUGAUACUGGGAAGCUUGAGUCCGGGAGAGGUGAGUGGAACUCCGAGUGUAGAGGUGAAAUUCGUAGAUAUUCGGAAGAACACCAGUGGCGAAGGCGGCUCGCUGGCCCGGUACUGACGCUGAGGUGCGAAAGCGUGGGGAGCAAACAGG
rnacentral:rRNA from 1 species